GGUUGCGAAAUUAACAGCAAUGAAAAUGGCGAAACGAAACUUGUGAAUCGUGCAUUUGCUCUUCAUGGUAGCUGCCAGAAAAUCGAAUCAAACUUAUGGGACACUGGAUUACAGGUUGCUGCCACUACUCCAUGUGCCCGCAAUUGUCUUGCGUGUAUGAUUACACUAACGACGUCGCCCACCACGGCGGAAGUGUUUUGCGUACACGCGUUUCAGCAUGAAGCCUGCAGGUGGACGUAAAUUGUAGAAGGCAGCUAGUGG